UUUGUUUUUCCUGUCUGUAGACAGUUCGACUCGCCGUUCCGCGUGACUUGCGAGUCCCCCUCUCCCUCCAGACGGACUGAGGUGGCUUUGCUGGUAGGAAUGAACGCGAGAAGGCUGGAGGUACCGUCUGUCCUUUUCGUUGAGGAAUCACCUGACCUUAUGACGUGCCAGAUCCUGGAGACCUGAAACACAUCGGCUCGCUUUUCAGGUUUGGGAUGCACAAUGAUGAGAAAUAAAAAGGAAAAAGAUUUACAGAAAGAAGCUGUAAGAUUCAAGGUUUCACAGUCCAAGCUAAUGUCCACAGAUUCUUCACCAAAUGAUCUGAGAAAAUUGAAUUCAUGGCAAAAGAAACGUUAUUCGACUAAGGCAAGGAACUUUGAUUCACUUACACAUCACUUGCAAUGUCUGAGUCAUAGGCUGGUCCAUUGACCGUGCUGUAGCUCCUGUGCUGUAUUUUACCCUGGCUUUCUUAGCUGCUUGAACAGAAAGAUGAUAGAGAAAUCUAAGGGAACAGGAAGGAACCAACAAGCAUGAACCAGACUGGGGUAACUAGAAGAUUCCAUUUUGGCACCAGGAAGAAAUUCUUCCUAAGCUUCAUUUGGGAUAUGCUGGGCCCUGGUGGAAGGAAAAGAAAGAGUGGAGCAUGGAGGACUUCUGGAUUAGAUGGAGAGAAUACCCAGGCAUCUCCAUGGCCCUGCUGAUGGUUCCAGAGCUUCAUCCAGUCAGUGAUGAGCUACAUGUACACCUGGAGAGGACUUGCAAUGUGUCAUUCUACACUUUACUGGCAUUUAGGGUUGUUGAGCCGAUGGUCUCAUGUUAUUUUGAUCUUCCUGCGUAGGUCAUUGAUCAUUCUUAUCAGAAAACUUUGGAAGUUUUUGUCCAGCAUUUUACUUAUUAGCCCC